CUCUGUGCCACCAACGACGUCGAGCAGCAGCCGUAGCUAGCCACAGUGUUCUCUGCAACGCCACCAUUCCCACCACCACCACCACCUCUUCCUCUCUUCCUCUCACACAUCAUUGGCGCUGCCGUGCGUGCGCCCUCGCCGUCAUCGACGCCGCCUCCAUCUCGACGUCUUUGCGCGUCUUUUUCUGGUAUCUGCCUCUUCGCCGGUGGCCGUUGUUCGUCCCACGGGCUGUAUGGGCGUACCGCACCCUUCUCUCUUUCCCACAACUUCCACGCACGGCCAGUUUUCCGUUCCGUAACGGCCUGGUGUGCUUGCAGUGCGUGCGUGUGUGUGUGUGUGUGGCUGUGGCUGUGUCCCUUGUACGCUGCGUGCCGCGCGAUCGCGUGUUCGCCGAGGCGAGAGGGAGGUGAUCGCCACCAACGGCGGUGGCCGUUGCUGUCCAUCUGCACCGCUUUUCUUGCGCUUGCUGACCGAAGGCCACAGGGAGUCCUGCCGCCAGCCGCUUUUUUUGUGCUCACUGUCGUCGGCUUCGUCGAGCCCAGCCAGCCAUACAGCCCUCCUCCUCCUUCUCCUCCGUCUUCUCGCUUACUCACGUCUAGCGCAAGAUGGAGUUCCGCUGGGCGGCAGAAGGCAAAACGGAGGAACUACGGCAGUGGCUGCGCGAGCACCCAGAGCGGGUGAAUGUGCCAUCAAAAGACUCCAACAUGACGCUGCUCUACACUUGUAUCUCAAACAGCGACCGCACCGACUUGGCGUCUCUCCAAGCAGGGUGGUCCUGCUAUCUCAGCACGGUUCGGAUGCUGUGCGAGGAGUACAAGGCGGAUGUGCUGGCCCCGAACGGCGGCACCUGCAACACAGCCCUCCACCUUGCUGCCUCGACCGGCGCGGUCGGCAUUCUGCGCUACCUGGUCGAGGUGCUGCGCACACCCGUGGACUGCACCAACGCGUUCGGUGAGCGGCCGGUGCAGAUGGCAGAGCGCCACGGGCAAACUGAGUGCGCCAGUAUUUUGGCAGCUGCUGCCGCCACGGCAACCUCAGUGCAGAGCCGAGAGCGAGCGGCGGAGCGUCCCAUGCCGCUGCAACAGACACCGCCGGGUGGGCUGCACGACUCUGCCGCCGCCAUCCUUGGAGGCGGGAGUGGGCGAUUCCAGAAGGUGACGGUUUCGGACAGCGACGAUGACGAGGCGUGGAGCAAAAUCAGCAACGGUGGAGCGGCUGCGGCGCUCAGCCCAGGCGAAUCGGGCCGCGAGCGGCCCACUGACGGCACCGGCCCGCUUUCGUUGUCCACACAGGCUAUGCAGCGCGGCGACAGCAGCAACAGUGCCACAGCGCCCUUCACCCCCUUAGAUGGCAGAUCUGCCUCUUCAGUGGUCGGCGAAGCGCGACCGCCACCGUACAGUCGCAACCCCAACGAGGCAAGCGCCGGCAGCGCGCCAGGCAGCAUCAGUGUACCACCCAUGCGUGCCCCAUCCGACUCCGCCGCUUUUUCAACGCUGCCGACGCCCGUGCGGCCGCGCAAAGAAUACGACAUCUCCAGCUCUCGCAUCCUGGCCAACCCGGACCUGCAGGGAUUUCGCUUCGCCUAUGGUGACGGCUUCAAGUACAUUCAGUGCAGCGACCACUACGAGAUUCGAGGCAUCCUGCCCUACACCUACCGCGGCACCGUGUACUACACCCCUGUGAUUAUUUCCGUCUACGCACCUACCUCAGCAACAGACUCGUCCGAGAACCCGACGAGCGGCGGUCCGGCUGGGGGCAGCGGCGCUGUCGAUGCCGCUCUCAGCAACCCUGACAGGCCAUUUCCGUUCAUGGGGCCUGCAGGCGCACGCGCGUCGCAGGGGACAUCGCCUGCACCCCACACGACGGCGAAGGCAUACGUGUACUGCCGCUACCGUGCGUGCAUCAACAUACAGAACCUCAACGGCUUCGCUAUUAGUCGCCGGGCCGAGUACAUCGACCCGAUCAGCGGCGCCAUCAUCCCGGCACCGGGGGAUGACAAAUACCAAACGCUGACCGCGUACGUCCGCAACGUGGUCGUGCGUAACUUCGAGGCGGUGCCGCCGCUCAUUCUGCCGACAAGCAGCUACGCCUUCCCCGCACGACCCAACGUCAGCCAGCUGGGCAGCAGUGGCAGCGCUGACGUCUACCACCACCACCAUUCUCACAACGCACCGGCGUUCAUGAAGAACGCGCUGCCCAAGCGCUCUGCAGCCCACAUCCGCUGUGCCGCUCUUCUCCGUGAUCUGUCGCGAUUUGGUGACGGACUCGCACGAUACGUUCCGUCGAAGCACCGCAUCGUCGCCUACGUGCCCAUCUUCAGCGAGCACAAGGCGGCGGUGCUCGCGAUGCCACAGGAACGGCCUUACGCCACUACCGUUGGACAGAGCCCGCAACCUGCCGUCGCCAACGCUGCUUCUGCCGCUGCGACGACUUUCUCGCCGGAAAGCGCCGCUCCCGUCGCUGGAGGCAAGGCUGGGGUGACGCAGCAGGUGGCGGUAGAGGCGGUGGUGGAGCUGCAGGUGCGCGCGCUUAUUCAGUUCUCCCCGACCCGUAUCGGUGGCGCCGCGGGCGAGGGCGAUGCUGCGAAGGACGGCGAGGCUUGCGUCUACGCCCAGCCGCCGCGCAUUUACCUCGUCGAUGCGGCUGCCAGCCCUUUGACGACCCUGCUCGACGGCGCGACGUCCGCCACCGCCGGUGCUGCUGGGGCACCCCCAUUCUCGUCCGCGCCCUCAUCCCUCACUGCGCAGUGCUUCGCCGGCAUCAUCAAGGACAGGGAGACGGGAGAGGUGUUCGCAGAGGUCCUCCGUCUCUCGCAAGAUUCGUGGAACGCCAGCGGAUCGGUGUACGACAUUCUUGUGGAGCUGCAGCGUGCCCUAAGAGGCGUACUGGAGUCUUUUGCGAUGAGCUACAUGGGCAGGAGCGCCGGUUCGCCGCCGGCGAGGCAGGAGCAGCCGUCUUCGGGCUCCCUCGAUCGCAUUGCCGGCGCGCCCCGCGGUGCGCCGGUGGUGACGUCGACACUGGAUGGCUUCUUCGCGUCACCGAUGACACAGACCCAGCUGAGCCUGAGCGGGGCGAGUGGCGAUGUCAGCGGUGCCGCUCAGAGAAGCAGCUCCGGGUACUGCCUCUACUGCGCCCAGCCGCUGCAUCCAUCCCGCGUGCUGCUGCAGCCGUGCGGGCACGGCGGACUUUGUGGGUUGUGCGUGCAGCGGCUGCAGAGUCACUGCAGAGAGGAGGUAUUCGCCUGCCCCGUGUGCCGCGGUGCCGUCCAGAAUGUGCUGGAGGUCUUUCUAUAAGAGGGGCUGUCACGUGUGAUGUGGCGCCUCCCCUCGUCACGAGCUGUAUUUUCUAACGCUCGCCGUGCUGUUCCAGGCCUCGGCCUCUCGGAGUGCUGCGCGCUUCGCGUUAGCGGGCAUGCCAAGGCAUUCGUCUCUCAGUCGGCGGCGAUACCGAUAGAGAAGAGGAGGGGCAUGAUCGUGCGUUGGUCUCUGCGCAGUUGUCUGUGUGGAUGUUGACGUUGCCCACCCCGUUAUUCUCUUCCUCUACGUUGAUUCUCCCCGCUGGCCUUGCCGUCACUUGCUUGGCUUCGCUCUUGCGCGCUCACGAGCGCGGAAAAGCGUCCCAGUGGGCGAAGCGCACGCACACGCACACGCACAGCACCGCUUCGUCCUGUGCAGCCGACAUGCCUUGCACUGCCCGCAUCUGCGGAUGCUUCGUGCUCGGUGCACGGCGCAAUCCCUGAUCAGCUUCUCUGCACAGUCUUCUUGGGGGAAGGGGUCUCCUUUCCCAGUGUGGCGUCCUGUGAAAACCGCCCACAGUUCACCUCGGUCGAGUUCGGCCUCGCUGUUGUCGUGAGAUAGGCGAACACCUCUAUCCUCACAUCCGUCGUUACGUGCGUGCGUGUGUGCGUGUGUCUGUGGCAGGAAGCGCGUGUGCUUCGGUUGAGAGCGCUGCUG
rnacentral:misc_RNA from 1 species